GUGCCAGCAGCCGCGGUAAUACGUAGGUGGCGAGCGUUGUCCGGAAUCAUUGGGCGUAAAGCGCGCGUAGGCGGCUUGUCAGGUCUGAUGUGAAACCUUGGGGCUUAACUCCAAGCGUGCAUCGGAAACCGGCUUGCUAGAGUCUGGGAGAGGGAAGUGGAAUUCCUGGUGUAGCGGUGAAAUGCGUAGAUAUCAGGAGGAACACCAGUUGCGAAGGCGGCUUCCUGGAACAGUACUGACGCUGAGGCGCGAAAGCUAGGGGAGCGAACAGGAUUAGAUACCCCUGUAGUCC
rnacentral:rRNA from 1 species